rnacentral:miRNA from 1 species
CUUCUAAACAUUUUUUCCCUUA